GGCGCGGGGAGGGAGGGGCGGCGGGUGCGUGGACCGAACCACCACGGUGUUGUUUGCGGUUUUAAUCCCUCCCGUGGGAUCAGGAGGAACUGAAGCUGGCAGAGUCCCAGGAAUAUGCCUGCUCCCCCGAAGUAGGAGGGAAUGUCAAGGGCACGAAUUCAUUCAUGCCUCUGUCCUGCCUCUGAGCACAGAACACUGUGAUGGUCUACACCUCUGUCCUCCUCACUGGGCUGUGACCACAUCGGUGAGGUCUCUGGCGUCCCAGCUCCCAGCAUGUGGUAGGCGUCAUCGUAAAGCCUUGAAUGAAUCUGCUGCUGUGUGAUUUCGAGUCAUCAAAUGCCAGAACAAGAAGGACCCUCAAGGA